rnacentral:rRNA from 1 species
ACGAACGCUGGCGGCGUGCUUAACACAUGCAAGUCGAACGGAAAGGCCCUGCUUUUGUGGGGUGCUCGAGUGGCGAACGGGUGAGUAACACGUGAGUAACCUGCCCUUGACUUUGGGAUAACUUCAGGAAACUGGGGCUAAUACCGGAUAGGAGCUCCUGCUGCAUGGUGGGGGUUGGAAAGUUUCGGCGGUUGGGGAUGGACUCGCGGCUUAUCAGCUUGUUGGUGGGGUAGUGGCUUACCAAGGCUUUGACGGGUAGCCGGCCUGAGAGGGUGACCGGCCACAGUGGGACUGAGAUACGGCCCAGACUCCUACGGGAGGCAGCAGUGGGGAAUAUUGCACAAUGGGCGGAAGCCUGAUGCAGCAACGCCGCGUGCGGGAUGACGGCCUUCGGGUUGUAAACCGCUUUCGCCUGUGACGAAGCGUGAGUGACGGUAAUGGGUAAAGAAGCACCGGCUAACUACGUG